AAAGGUGGGGACAUAAAUGUCGACUUUUGCUUUUAAUUCAUUAUUCCUCAGGGUUGAUUGUUUUAAUUAAAUGUGUCACUGUAUUGCUUGUGUGAUUAAAAUCUAGUAAUACAAAUGGUACUGUAGUAAAUAAACUUGGUUAUCCUGUGCUAGUCAUGUCAUAAUCAGCUCCUUAACUAGCAGUACAACUGUAGUUGAAAAAACAAGUGGAGGAAAAAACUGGCUCAGUCGGUUAAGUGUCCGACUGUUGGUUUUGGCUCAGGUCAAGAUCUCAUGGUUUUUGAGUUCGAGCCCCAUGUUGGGCUCUGCACUGAGUGUGGAGCCUGCUUGGGAUUUUCUUCCUUUCUCUCUCUCUGCCCUUCACUCCCUCGUGCUCCGUCUCUCUCAAAAAAAAAAAAAAAAUUUUAGAACCGCCAUGGAGGAGGAAGAAGGAAGAUUUUCAUGAACUCCUCCCAUUUUGGCACAGCACACACUCUCUGGUUUUCCGUGUCUAGUGCUGAGCUUCCUAGUAAAAGGGAGAGAGAGAAACAGGGACUGAAUUCAAGAGUUCAAAGAUGAUUAAAGAGAGAGCUAGAAAUUAAGACACGGUAAGAGCAGAAUACAGUCAUUCCAGUAGACAAAGAAGAGAUCUUAGGAUAUUACAGACCCUCAGGGGUUCCUGGGUGGCUCAGUCGGUUAAGUGUCUGACUUCAGCUUAGGUCAUGAUCUCAUAAUUCGUGGGUUAAAGCCCCAUGUUGGGCUCUGUGCUGACAGCUCAGAGCCUGGAGCUUGCUUCGGAGUCUGUGUCUCCCUCUCUCUCCACUCCUUCCUGACUCACACUCUGUCUCUCAAAAAUGAAUAAAUGUUAAAAAAAAAUAAUAUUACAGACCCUCAGUGACGACAUCCAAGGAAUACCUACCACUGGUUCUCAAAGUGUGGCUCUCAGGCGAGCAGCAUUAUCAUCGCGAGGGAACCUGGUAGGCAUGCAAAUUAUCCAAGCUCGUUCCAGACCUACCAAAUGUGAAACUGCAGGUGGGGCCAGCCGUGUUUUGACAAGCUUUCCAGGGAAUUCGAAUGUGUGCUAAAGUUUGACAACCACUGCUUUCCACCAGUGCUUCUCAAAAUUGAAAAUACAUCUGCAUGGCCUGGGGAUCUGGUUAUGCAGCACAUUCUGACUUAGCAGGGAUGGAAUGGAGCCCCGAGACCCUGCACUUCUCACAAGAUCCCUGGUGAGCCCCUGGUGCUGUGGCUCAGACCACAUGGAGUCACUUCAGAAGGCAGACUGAGUGUGCAUUCAAUGACGAGAGUGUUCCCUAAGGAAAUAAUGCAAAUCUUGUCAGCGUUUUAUUUCAUUUUUAUUUCAAGGCCAUGGGCGAGACUAAUGCCGCUCUCUUUGAAGAGCUUGCUCUCUGGGGUUCUGGGGACGCGUUGAGGAACAGUGCCGUAUUUGUGUAUCUGUAGCUUUGCCUCCUGAAAGCUCCAAAACAUUCGCUGCCACUCCUGACUUUUUGUGAACAGUUCCUCUUUCCAGAUGGAGAAGCUGAGGCUGGCCCCCAGAGCUAUUUGUGUUCCAAGGUCAGAGAGACCUGGGACAGCCUGGGCUGGCGAAGCCCUCCUGACCUGGCUGGAAGCUCUUCCCACCCGCCCCUUGCGCCUCUCUCAGCAGCCUGCGGGAAGUGGUGAUGGAGCUCAGAAGAUUAGCACGGCCGCAGCUCAGUAGUAAAACCCAGAGCAGCUCACUCUCCAGGCUCGCUGGUGAAUAAACAGGGAUCUUUAUCAUCCUUUCCGUCAGAAAGCAUUUAUUUAAAACCCCUUGGCUAACUCACAGGGUGAGCUGGCCUGUCACACACCAUCACAUGGGAUGGAAACUGGUAAUUAAAUUUAGCAACCCACCUCGGCAAAUCCAGACGGAGAUGUUUACAGGCCAGCACGAAAGGAGCCAGGAGUUUUCACUCCUAAAUCAAGAGGUUUCCAGAGAAAGUGAAGCCUAAUGACAAAAGCACGUCACCUACAGAUGUUCCUGAAUGGCACCGGGGCCCUUGGGCUUAGGAGGUUCAAGAUUCCAGCCAAGAGGCCCUAUCUGUAGGAGAAGGCUGGAAUGUGGAUGUGGUGGCUGGAGUGCAGUAGUCAUUUUGGGCCAUAAGGUAGAAAGUCUAUGUUGAUAAGGAGCCUGGGUUCCUGAUGAUUGGGGCUGUUAUUACAACUCUAGUCUGUUCACCUUUCUUCUUCACUAUGUGAGAACAUAAUAAAGAACAUAGUAAAGUGCAAACAAUGUGUUUGUAACAAACCACAGUUAUUUUGGGUUUUCUGAAACUUAGGAACCCACUUAUAACUAAUCUACCAUGGAAAGUACACACACACACACACACACACACACACACACACACACACACCCGAAGGAACACUAUUGAAAUGAAGGACAUGGGCUUCCCAGUUGGAUUGCUUUGCUCCAAAUUCUAGCUCCACUACUUUCUAGCUGUGUGCCAUUGGACAAGUUUCUUCACCUCUCUGUGCCUCAGUUUCCAAACUUAUAAAAUGGGAAUGAUAUAACAAUUAUGCAGUUUUCGUUUGUUUUUAGAGAAGAUUAAAUUAGAGAAUACAUUUAAAAACAUAGAACAGUGAUUGACCCAUAGCAAAUAUUUGAUACAUAUUAGCUAUUAUUAUUUUUAAAAAUUUAUUUGUUUUGAGAGAGAGCAAGGUGGGGGGAGAAGAGAGAGGAAACAGAGAAUCCUGAGCAGGCUCAGCACAGAGGCUGAUGCAGGGCUGGAUCCCAUAAACCAUGAGAUCAUAACCUGAACUGAAACCAAGAGUCAGAUGCUUAACCAACUGAGCCACCCAGGCACCCCUUAGCUAUUAUACAGACAUAGUCCACAUGUUUGUUUGUUUAUACUUUGCCUCUCCAUACUGACAACUGUAGAGUUGUACUGUUUUCUCUUAUUCAUUGGUUCAUUUGAUAACUUUCAUUAAUGUCACAAGAAGAAACAGUAGAAGAACAUUCAAAAUAUGCAUACACAAUCAAGAUUUAAUCUUAAGACAGUCUGCUUUAAGACAUGAGGUUAAGGAAUGAAUUGUAUCUAGAAGCGUGGGUCAUUAGGAUUUGCUGUGUGUUCUGAAUUUCUUCCCUGUUUGUGUUACUCAUUUCUAAAUUGUAUACGAAAUACAGAUUUCAUAGUGGUAAGCAAUAAUUUGUACCUAGAGAAAGAGUUUAUUUCUCUCUUAAGGUUGUCUUCCAGAGUUUCUUAAGAAACCCAAGUUGGAACUUUAUUUAUUUAUUUAUUUAUUCAUUCAUUCAUUCAUUCAUUCAUUCAUUCAUGGGAUGUAUAGAUGAACAAAGAGGGGUACACACCCUUAAGAUGAUCCCAGCUAACAGAGAAAGCAGACAUACUUUCUGUAGCUCUCUGGACGUGCCUCUUCUUAUGUCUGGUUUUCUGGACCGUGGGUGUCAGAAGGUGAGUAAGAAUUUGCCAGGAAGAAAAGGUGGGGUGGCACUUCUGGGAAUUUAUCCCCCAGAGGCACCUGCGCAUGUGUGGAAGGAUGUACAUACAUGGUUAUUCAUGGAAGAGUUGCUUAUAUAUAGUAGGGGAAUUCUGGAACCCGCAUGUCCAUCUACAGAGUCCUGGAUAAUCUAUGGACAUCCUCAGAGUGGAAUACUAUGCAGCUGGAAAAAGAAAGGGGUUGCUGUCUGUGCACUGCUGGAACACACUUUCCAGAAUAUACUAUUAAGUGAAAAAAGAGGCAAGAAGCAGUGAGCAUAGAUAGUUGGCUACAUUCUGUUUAAGAAAAGUGUGGUGGAGUUAGAGUAUAUAUCUCUCUCUUUCUUGUAUUUGCAGAAAGAUUGGAAAGAUAAACAAGGAACUAAUAAAAGGGAUCAUGCCCUAGUAGGGAGGGGGGCGGGUAGCGGGAAAGGAGAGGAGCAGGUCAGGGUGUGAGCAAGACUUCUUACUUGUUCUUUAUCAUUUUGAUUUUUGAACUAUAUAAAUACAUUAUCUACUCCAAUAUAUAAAAUGCAGUGUAAUAAGAAAAGGGAGGGGUGCCUGGGUGGCUCAGUCAGUUAAGCAUCCUACUUUGGUUCAGGUCAUGAUCUCUCGAUUCAUGGGUUCAAGCCCCGCGUUGGGCUCUGUACUGACAACUCAGAGCCUGGAGCUUGCUCAGAUUCUGUCUCCCCCUCUCUCUCUGUUCCUCCCCCGCUUGUGCUCUCUCUUUCUCUCUAAAAAAUACAUUAAUUAAUUAAAAAAAAUAAAUGGGAAGAACAUUCUCCACAGAGAGAUUAGCAUGUGUAGAGGUUCAGAGGCAUGGGACAGCACUACAAGGGAACAAAGUUCUCCCUAACUUUAUUAUUUUUUAAUGUUUAUUUAUUUGAGAGAGAGAGAGAGAGAGAGAGAGAGAGAGAGAGAGAGAGAGAGAACACAAGCAGGGGAAGGACAGAGAGAGGGAGACAGAGGAUCUGAAACAGGUUCUGUGCUGACAGCAGAGAACCUGAUGCAGCUCGAACUCAUGAACCACGAUACCAUGAACUGAGCCAAAGUCUGAUGCUUAAACAACUGAGCCACCCAGACACCCCUCUCCCUAACUUUAAUCUAGAGUCUCUCUGGCGGGGCCUCCAGAACUGUUUGUUGUCUCUGUUUUUGAUUUCUGGACACCUACUGGGAUAGAAGUUCAUUAAAAAUAUGGGACUUUGUCAAUCUUACAACCAUAUGCAAAUUACCUUUGGUUGCCUGAUAUUGUGGACUGACUCUCUGAGAUCUCUUGCUCAUGUGUAUCCCAGCAUCCUCUGAAGGAAUAACCCCCUCCUGUUUCCCUGACAUUGUUCUGCUUACCACCUGGGGUGCUAUGCUUUCCCUUUCCUUCAGUUUCCUGCACCAGGAGUCAUUCCAUCUCUCUUCAAGAAAACAAAAAGGUAUGGUUGGCCAACAACAGAGAAAUUAUGCAUUUAAAUAGAAAUAUAUAGCUCUGAAUAAAAUUACACAUCAACAUAAAUCUAUACGCAUACAUGCAUAAGAAUAUAAUGCAUAUGAUUAUACUUACACAUCCACACAGAAAGCUACAUGAGAUGUACAGUAGAUAUAUUUCACCUGUUAAACAGGAACUGUAUAGUGGGUUUUCUAGAAUAGCAGUUUUCAAGAAUUUUAGCUUGCAUACCUCCUAAAGGAAUUUUGAAAAAACCCUCCUUAACUUGUAUAAGUCAACAUCUUAUGAUAAUUUUUUAAUCAUAAAUUCAAAUAAUUGCCAAGGAUGUAAUUUUUGGCAUAAUGUAAAAUGUUGACAUUUUAAAAUAAAAAUAUUGCAUGUC